UACGUAGGGGGCAAGCGUUAUCCGGAUUUACUGGGUGUAAAGGGAGCGUAGACGGUGUGGCAAGUCUGAUGUGAAAGGCAUGGGCUCAACCUGUGGACUGCAUUGGAAACUGUCAUACUUGAGUGCCGGAGGGGUAAGCGGAAUUCCUAGUGUAGCGGUGAAAUGCGUAGAUAUUAGGAGGAACACUAGUGGCGAAGGCGGCUUACUGGACGGUAACUGACGUUGAGGCUCGAAAGCGUGGGGAGCAAACAGG
rnacentral:rRNA from 1 species